GAUGAAGAACGUAGUGAAAUGCGAUAAGUAAUGUGAAUUGCAGAAUUCAGUGAAUCAUCGAAUCUUUGAACGCACAUUGCGCCCGCCAGUACUCUGGCGGGCAUGCCUGUCCGAGCGUCAUUUCAACCCUCAGGGCCCUCCAGCAGGGCGCUGGUGUUGGGGAUCGGCAGUCCCAGCGGCUGCCGUCCCUGAAAUGUAGUGGCGGUCCCACCGUGACCUCCCCUGUGCAGUACAUCGCUCGCAGAGGGACAGCGGUGCGGCCACGCCGUAAAACGCCCAACUCUUCAAGGUUGACCUCGGAUCAGGUAGGACUACCCGCUGAACUUAAGCAUAUCAAUAAGCGGAGGA
rnacentral:misc_RNA from 1 species